UGGUGCCUACGGGGGGCAGCAGUGAGGAAUAUUGGUCAAUGGGCGAGAGCCUGAACCAGCCACGUCGCGUGAGGGAAGACGGUCCUAUGGAUUGUAAACCUCUUUUGCCGGGGAGCAAAAAGCGGUACGUGUACCGCAUCGAGAGUACCCGGAGAAAAAGCAUCGGCUAACUCCGUGCCAGCAGCCGCGGUAAUACGGAGGAUGCGAGCGUUAUCCGGAUUUAUUGGGUUUAAAGGGUGCGCAGGCCGCGAGUUAAGAC
rnacentral:rRNA from 1 species